AGGUUGUUAGGAUUUCUUUGACAAGUUCUUUUAGCUUGACAGAUUUAGGAUUAAGACAACCUAGGUUAGAAGUGGAAGAAUAUCUAUCAAUUGUUGAUGAGUUCAUGGAAGCAGUUUUCACAGGUUGGCCUAAGGCUAUUGUACAGGUUUAUUUCUUUCACAAGUGAGAAUUUUGUGUUAUGCUUGGUUUAUAUCAUGUUGUUUAUUUGAUGGUUACACCAUUCAGUUUGAGGAUUUUCAAAUGAAAGGGACCUUUGAAACUCUGGAACACAAUCGGAAAAGGUUUUGCAUGUUUAAUGAUGAUAAAAGGAGAACUUCUGGAGUUACACUUGCUGGAUUGUUAGAAACUGUAAGAGCACAAGGUUGAUCAUUGGCUGACUUUCCAAACCAAAAGAUAGUUGUGGUGGGAGCUGGAAGUGCAGGGCUUGGUGUUCUUAGCAUGGCUGUGCAAGCUGUUGCGAGGAUGACAGGAAAACCCAAAAUAGCUGCACACAACUUUUUCCUACUUGAUAAAAUCAGCACCACCUUUUGCUAAAGAUCCAGGACAGAAAGUGGGACUUAGAGAGGGGGCUUCUCUACUUGAAGUGAAGAUGCAUAGGCUUGGAAUUACACGAUUAGUCGUUGUUGGGAUCCCUCCCUUGGGCUGCAUGCCCUUUUUCAAGACUCUAACGGAAAUAUGUUGUUAGGAUGCUGUGAACAACCCCGAAAAAUAAGGUUUGGCUGAAACUUCCAAAGGAUGUCGUGGAACGGGGACAGUAGAAUAUGGAGAUACAUGCAAAGGCAUGAGCACAUGCGCUGAUGCAUCAAAAUAUGAAUUCUGGGAUACUGUUCAUCCAACAGAAAAAAUGUAUGAAAUAGUCUUUGACCAGGCCAUAGAUUCUCUCCGAGAACAGCUGAUAGGCUAGCUAGCUGGGAUUUUAGAUAGAUCGAGAAAGUAAUUAACUAUGCUUUCACUAAGGUCUGAGUAGUUACAAGAAAAUGUUUGGUUAGACGUUUCAGUUUGUAUCGUUUGGUUAA